rnacentral:rRNA from 1 species
AUUCAACGCUGGCGGCAGGCCUAACACAUGCAAGUCGAGCGGAUGAAGGGAGCUUGCUCCUGGAUUCAGCGGCGGACGGGUGAGUAAUGCCUAGGAAUCUGCCUGGUAGUGGGGGAUAACGUCCGGAAACGGGCGCUAAUACCGCAUACGUCCUGAGGGAGAAAGUGGGGGAUCUUCGGACCUCACGCUAUCAGAUGAGCCUAGGUCGGAUUAGCUAGUUGGUGGGGUAAAGGCCUACCAAGGCGACGAUCCGUAACUGGUCUGAGAGGAUGAUCAGUCACACUGGAACUGAGACACGGUCCAGACUCCUACGGGAGGCAGCAGUGGGGAAUAUUGGACAAUGGGCGAAAGCCUGAUCCAGCCAUGCCGCGUGUGUGAAGAAGGUCUUCGGAUUGUAAAGCACUUUAAGUUGAGAGGAAGGGCAGUAAGUUAAUACCUUGCUGUUUUGACGUUACCAACAGAAUAAGCACCGGCUAACUUCGUG